AACCCCCAAGUGUUGAUAGAGCCG
rnacentral:piRNA from 1 species